rnacentral:lncRNA from 1 species
UUCUUACUAUAUACUACCAAUUUUUUUUAAAAACGGUGUAAUUAUGAGGAAGAUUAAAAUGGGGAAAAGGUAAGUGCGUUGAUUGUGAAAAAAAGGACAAUAUGUGGUGCUUUGAUAAGUGGGAUACCGAUUCAUAUAGUUUAGGCUUUCUAUAAAGUGAAUUAUCACAUGAUUUCAAAGAUAAAUGUUAUGUUCAACUUUGAAGACAAGAUUUUAAAGAAAAAGAAGAAAUUACUUAUUGU